GCUUUGUUUAGUGAAGUUCUUCUCGUGUAAGUAACUUUUAAUAAUUAUUAUAUCGUAAUUUUAUUAUGGAUUGAUGGUUAAAAAUGGGUCUUUUAGUCGAAUCUGACAAAAUGUUGAACAAGCAGCCAAUUGUUCAUUCUUCAACUUCAGCAUCUGAUUUCGAAACAACACAGAGUGAUGAUACUGAAAUCUAUAGUGAGCUAUCAUCUCACUUGACUAAAAACAAAGAAAAAAUUGGUGAACAUGGUGAGAAGAAAAGGAAAAAUAUGACAGCAACUAUUUACAAAUGGGUUUUUAUUUUACUGGGGAAGAAUCAGAACCUAAACUGCUUU
rnacentral:lncRNA from 1 species